GAUGAACGCUGGCGGCGUGCCUAAUACAUGCAAGUCGAGCGAACGGACGAGAAGCUUGCUUCUCUGAUGUUAGCGGCGGACGGGUGAGUAACACGUGGAUAACCUACCUAUAAGACUGGGAUAACUUCGGGAAACCGGAGCUAAUACCGGAUGAUAUUUUGAACCGCAUGGUUCAAAAGUGAAAGACGGUCUUGCUGUCACUUAUAGAUGGAUCCGCGCUGCAUUAGCUAGUUGGUAAGGUAACGGCUUACCAAGGCAACGAUGCAUAGCCGACCUGAGAGGGUGAUCGGCCACACUGGAACUUAGACACGGUCCAGACGCCUGCGGGAGGCAGCAGUAGGGAAUGUUCCGCAAUGGGCGAAAGCCUGACGGAGCAACGCCGCGUGAGUGAUGAAGGUCUUCGGAUCGUAAAACUCUGUUAUUAGGGAAGAACAUAUGUGGAAGUAACUGUGCACAUCUUGACGGUACCUAAUCAGAAAGCCACGGCUAACUACGUG
rnacentral:rRNA from 1 species